rnacentral:lncRNA from 1 species
UUGAAACAGAGCUAUACAAUGAAAUAAGUUAAACACAUACACACAGACACACACACUCGUGUAUAUAUAUAUUUCCUUUGUUACUCUCUGUUUCCACUACUUUUGUUCAUUUGUUUAUUCAUAUCUGAUCCUCGACCUAGUUUGGUUCGCAAGCCCCAUAUGAGUUGUUCUCAAUCAUUGGAAGACUUUGUGGGCCACCAUCAAUCUGUUCUUCUUGAAGACCUUAUCUCUGAUCAAUUAUGGAUCUUGUUGAAUCUGGGUUUAUAUGUUCGCUUAAGUUAGCUUGUGUUAGCCCGUCGAACACAGUUUCUAUUUUUGUGUUGCUCGAAAGGGCGAGGCUUCAUGAUCUGGAGUGUUUUAGGUUGAUUUGUGGCAACCUGUUGUUGUCGAAGUUGUCUCAGCGAGUUGUCGAUGUGCGAACUGCUACCGUGUUUACAGGCAAGUUCAUUUGUCAUUAUCUAAUCCCAGAUUUCGGUGCUCGUGAUUUUUUACAUUACAUUCUUUUUGCAAUUUGGUUUCGUGCCCUUACACGGAUGCGCUGAAUUGUACAGUGGUUUGUGAGUGUUUGACUCUGAAUUUGGACUGUAAUCUGGUUUAAUUUUUUCUAUUUACCUUAUGGUUGUAUUUUGUCACGCAUUCAGGUUGCUUGUUUUUUGGUUCAUUGGGUCGUCGGGCCUUAUGUCCUCGCAAUCUUUUGUAUCGUUUAUGUUUAAUUAAUCUAUUUAGGGUGUUGUAAAAUAAUAAUAAUAAUAAUAAUAAUAAUAAUGAUGAUGAUGAUGAUGAUGAUGAUGAUGAUGGUGAUGAUAUGGUAGACAUGUAAUCUUUUUUUGUGUUAAUCUAUUUAGGGUGUUGUAAAAUAAUAAUAAUAAUGAUGAUGAUGAUGAUGAUGAUGAUGAUGAUGAUGAUGAUGAUAAUAAUGAUGAUAAUAAUAAUAUGGUAGACAUGUAAUCUUUUUUGGUGUUAACCCCCAAGUUUCUAGGGAAUGAGACCCUAGUAAUUCAAA